ACGGGUGUAGCUCAACGGCAUAGAGCACCGGUCUCCAAAACCGAAGGUUGCAGGUUCGAAUCCUGCCGCCCGUG
rnacentral:tRNA from 1 species